rnacentral:rRNA from 1 species
AACGAACGCUGGCGGCAGGCUUAACACAUGCAAGUCGAGCGCCUCGCAAGAGGAGCGGCCGCCGGGUGAGUAACGCGUGGGAACGUACCCUUAUCUUCGGAAUAGCUCUGGGAAACUGGAAGUAAUACCGAAUGUGCCCUUAGGGGGAAAGAUUUAUCGGAUAAGGAUCGGCCCGCGUUGGAUUAGCUAGUUGGUGGGGUAAAGGCCUACCAAGGCGACGAUCCAUAGCUGGUCUGAGAGGAUGAUCAGCCACAUUGGGACUGAGACACGGCCCAAACUCCUACGGGAGGCAGCAGUGGGGAAUAUUGGACAAUGGGCGCAAGCCUGAUCCAGCCAUGCCGCGUGAGUGAUGAAGGCCUUAGGGUUGUAAAGCUCUUUCACCGGAGAAGAUAAUGACGGUAGCCGGAGAAGAAGCCCCGGCUAACUUCGUG